UUAUCAACUAAUUAAAGUUUAAUUAAUUUUAGCUCUUGUAUUUAUUUAUUUAUUUAGCAUCAUUAAUUGUUAUCUGUAUUAUUACUAAAUUUUUAAUGAACAAACUGCAUGCGAAUUUUUGUAGUUUCUCUCAAAAAUAUCUUCAUAACUUUGUUUUCCUUUGAGCCAUGGAAUUCGAUAAAUUAUUGGAUAUAUUUCCACAGUUAUUCGCAAUAUCUUUUCGGUCCCUUUUCUUUUUAGAAGUUUAACUGAAAUAAGUUUUGCAAUGCAAACAAUCCAAGGGUUAUUUUGAAAAUCAAAAUAUGUAUUUUUUUCACACAAGUUAUUUUAGCCUUAUUCAACUGGCGCUGUAGAUUAACUUGGAAUAACAUAGUAUUUUUCUUUUUUAAUUGCCCAUCAACAAAUGUGCUAUCGUUUUUGUUUUUCCGACCUUCUGCCACGUUUUAAGUACUCAUUAUCUAAUCAUUAUUUCCAUCAUCAUCAUGUGAUUGUCAUACAAAACAUUUCACAUAAUUUUAAUAUAUUACAAUUGUAUAUUUUUAGAGAACAAUUUGUAGAAAUUUAACUUAAAAUUAGAACAUUAUUAGUUUUGAAACUACUUUUCUAUUUAUGUAUGUAUAAUAUUUUAUAAUUUCUCUCUUCACACUACUAAAAUUAUACAUACUUAAACCUUAGACGCAUUCAUUCAUUUAUACACUCACUCACUUUACUCACAUACUUAAAUUUUGUUUAUCUCUAUAAAUAAGCAGUAUAGAUAAUUUCAAUUACAUAUUGGACAGUUUGUGAAAGCAUUUAGGUAUGUUUUAUGUGUGUUAGUUAAAGUAAAGCGAAAAUGAGAAAGCAUUAUUUGAAGUAGGAAAAGUAUUUUUUUAUUUUUUUGAACUUAUAAAACUGAUUCACAUGCUAACGUGAUCAACAUCGAAAAGUAAUGGUCAAAGAAAUUUUAAAAUCUCUAUUUUUUCCCCAAUUUUUAGUGAUAAAGCUCAAAAUGAAUAUAUGUAGACAACUUUCUGUAUGAGCCCAACAAUCAUUUGGCGUCACACCCAAAACCAAACUGCGAACUCUUCUUUGUUAUUGAAAAAUUACAGAAGUCAAAUCGGAAAUUCAUAUUCCAGCUGCAUUCUUAUUCUGCCUCUUAGUACUUUACAAUACAUAUUUUUUUAAGUUGUUUAGUGUAUUAUACUAAUUAAAAUAUUAUAGUUUUACUUAAAUUAAGUAAGUAGUUUACUUUCGCUUAAAUCUUUAUACUUUUUUAUUAAAUUUUUUUUUUUAGGUAUAUAACUAUAUAUAUCUCACUAUUAGCAGGUAAAAUUCACAUUGAUUUCUCAUUGUUGUUCUUGUUGCUGUAUUUGUUACUAUAUAUAUAUAUAUAUAUUAUCCGAUCAAUUAUUAUUGCUUUUCAUGAACAUUAGGAAAACAAAGCGCCAUUAUUAAGAUUAUGUUACAUAUAUUUGUAUAAAAGUUUUGAGGCUUUUAUCGAGAAUUUCUGAGUGAAGGCGCAGAUCAGUAGGGAAAAUCUGGAAUAUGAAUAAAUUAGGGGUUUAUGUAACAAAACAACUAAUAAAAAUAAGUCCUUAACAGAAUGAAUAAAUGGAAGAGAUGGCCCUUAAAAUCGAGGCCGAGCACAACGGGCCGCCCUCAUUGGACCCAGUGGGGCACCAUGGAUCUCCUAACCAAGAUGCAGCUUCUAAUUCCUGUUAACACUUUCUCUGAUAUUGCUCAAAUUUUCAAUGACUGUGGUCUAAAAAUCUGAGACCAAAUUUCGUAAUUUGUGUGAAUAAAAAAGGCAAUGAUUCAAUACAAAGUACACCAGGGUUUGAAUCUUAUCUAUAUUUUAUUCCUGGUUGCUUACCACUUGUGCACGAUUUGGACAAAGUGUGAAUGGCCUAUGAGUUGAAAGUAUGCAUACCGCUUAAGACGGAGCUUACUUCAUAGAGCUUUCGCGUACAUUGAGAAAAAUGUUUUAAUACAACCCUAAUGCAACCCUAACGACGAAAAUUUUUUAAUGCAAUAAUAACGUCCAGGAAUUGUGAGUUUGACAGGAAAUUCCCACUUAACAAAUAAUAACAGAACUAAAAACUGAUAAGAAAUCAUAAGCUUAAUCUCCUCAGCACUCACCUGUGUUCUAUAUAAAAGUCUCAAUACUUUCAAGCGCGUUUGUUUUGCGUAAAAUGCGUAUAACACAAGCGAAUAUAAACAAUUAUAUAAUAUGCUAGGUUUUUUUUUUGUUUUUUUUUUUUACUUUAUUCAUAUAUUACAAAAAUUUACAUUGGUUUAACGUUAAACAUGGCUAUUAAUAAGCAUACUUACAAAUACAUACAUAUCGAUUAUUUGAAGCAUUAAAAACUGGCAAAUCCACAUCUGAUUUCAAUGUCUAUAUCUAUGUAUGUAUAGGCAGGCUUUCUGACAUAUGUAUUGAAUAAAAAUAAAGCAAAAUUUCAAAACUAAACUGAAUACCUAUUUACAUUUCACAAAGAAUAUUGUAUAUAAGAUAAUAAUAAAAAAAA